rnacentral:rRNA from 1 species
UACGUAGGCAGCAAGCGUUGUUCGGAGUUACUGGGCGUAAAGGGUGCGUAGGCGGCUUUUUAAGUUUGGUGUGAAAUCUCCCGGCUCAACUGGGAGGGUGCGCCGAAUACUGAGAGGCUAGAGUCCGGAAGAGGCGAGUGGAAUUCCUGGUGUAGCGGUGAAAUGCGUAGAUAUCAGGAGGAACACCUGUGGUGUAGACGGCUUUCUGGACCAUAGCUGACGCUGAGACACGAAAGCGUGGGUAGCAAACAGG